rnacentral:rRNA from 1 species
AGAAUCAACGCUGGCGGCGUGCCUAACACAUGCAAGUCGAACGAGAAAGUGGAGCAAUCCAUGAGUACAGUGGCGCACGGGUGAGUAACACGUGACUAACCUACCCUCGAGUGGGGAAUAACCUCGGGAAACCGGGCUAAUACCGCAUAACAUCCACGGAUCAAAUGCGUAAGCAGCUUGAGGAGGGGUCGCGGCUGAUUUAGCUAGUUGGCGGGUAAUGGCCCACCAAGACAGUGAUCGGUA